AGAUUGAACGCUAGCGGGAUGCUUUACACAUGCAAGUCGAACGGCAGCGCGGACUUCGGUCUGGCGGCGAGUGGCGAACGGGUGAGUAAUAUAUCGGAACGUGCCCAGUAGCGGGGGGAUAACUACGCGAAAGCGUGGCUAAUACCGCAUACGCCCUACGGGGGAAAGGGGGGAUUCUUCGGAACCUCUCCGACUAUUGGAGCGGCCGAUAUCAGAUUAGCUAGUUGUGAGGUAAAGGCUCACCAAGGCGACGAUCUGUAGCUGGUUUGAGUAGGACGACCAGCCACACUGGGACUGAGACACGGCCCAGACUCCUACGGGAGCAGCAGUGGGAAUUUGGACAUGGGGAAACCUGAUCCAGCCAUCCCGACGUGUCGCGAGUGAACGGCCUUUCGGGUACGUAAAGGACGACUUUUGGACC
rnacentral:rRNA from 1 species